rnacentral:rRNA from 1 species
UCUCGAAGGGGGUCGUAACGCGUGAGAAUCUGCCGAAGGGACGGGGAUAACCACGGGAAACGGUGGCUAAUACCGGAUGAGCCGAAAGGUAAAAGAUUUAUCGCCUUCGAGGAGCUCGCGUCCGAUUAGCUAGUUGGUGAGGUAAAAGCUCACCAAGGCAGCGAUCGGUAGCUGGUCUGAGAGGAUGAGCAGCCACACUGGGACUGAGACACGGCCCAGACUCCUACGGGAGGCAGCAGUGGGGAAUUUUCCGCAAUGGGCGCAAGCCUGACGGAGCAAUACCGCGUGAGGGAGGAAGGCUCUUGGGUUGUAAACCUCUUUUCUCAGGGAAGAAGUUCUGACGGUACCUGAGGAAUAAGCAUCGGCUAACUCCGUGCCAGCAGCCGCGGUAAUACGGAGGAUGCAAGCGUUAUCCGGAAUUAUUGGGCGUAAAGCGUCCGCAGGUGGCAUUUCCAGUCUGCUGUCAAAGACCAAGGCUCAACCUUGGGCAGGCAGUGGAAACUGAAAAGCUAGAGUGCGGUAGGGGUAGGGGGAAUUCCCAGUGUAGCGGUGAAAUGCGUAGAGAUUGGGAAGAACACCGGUGGCGAAAGCGCCCUACUAGGCCGCAACUGACACUCAGGACGAAGCAAGUCU